rnacentral:tRNA from 4 species
GGCUGAUUAGCUCAGCUGGGAGAGCACCUCCCUUACAAGGAGGGGGUCGGCGGUUCGAUCCCGUCAUCACCCACCA